rnacentral:rRNA from 1 species
AUGAGCACGAGCACCAGCACCGGCACGAUUUUCAGUCAGUUGCUGCUGCUCCUCCUAGUCGUGCCUCCAUCCACCGCCACCGCCACCACCCAUGGCCGCGCUGCCUGCCUGCCGCGGGAGCGUGAUGCGCUGCUGGCUUUCAAGCGGGCCAUCACCAGCGACCCCGCGGGCCAGCUCGCCUCAUGGCGGCCUGGCGCGGGCGGCCACGAGGACUGCUGCCGCUGGAGGGACGUCCGGUGCAGCAACCGCACCGGCCAUGUCCUUCAGCUCCGUCUUCGCCACACGCACAGCGGCGACUGCGUCAGAAUCAGCUGCGCCAUGCCGGCCAUGGCCGGCCAGAUAAGUCCCUCCCUGCUCUCCUUGCAGCACCUAGCGCACCUUGAUCUCAGCGUGCAGCUGCUUCAGGGGCGCACCGGCCGCGUGCCCGAGUUCCUCGGCUCUCUCAGCAACCUGAGGUGUCUCGACCUCUCCUGCCUGCCGCCCCAGCUCGGCAACCUCUCCAAGUUGCGCCAUCUUGACCUCUCACAAAACGAGGAUGCCAACCUCUCAGAGCAACUCUAA